UGAUACGAGUUUUUCCCAAUUUGAUAUUGUGACGUCAGAAGCGGGGCUUUUAGCUUGAUUCUGCAUUCAGGUCGUAGAGGGCGGGAUUUGAUUCUGUGGAGCUACUGAUUUACGUGUUUUGGACAUGUUUAUUACACUGAAAGUCUACUGUAAUUUUUGUUUUCCUGAGACAGCCCAAUGUUGUAAGUAGAAAAUCACUGCAUAUUAUGAUAGGUCAAUAUUUACUCUUUUGCCUGAUGUUAAUGGUGAUUAUAAUGGUGGAUUGAUGUGAUGUAUGAAAUAAGAUUAGAAUCAUAGAACAUCCUUACGUUUUGAAUGUAAAUGUACCACAUAUAAGUUUUGGUGUAAGUAGCGUAUAAGAUAAUUCAUGCUGGAAAAGUACGAAAUAUCCGAGUAAGGUUAUGAUAUUAUGAAUGAGCAAGAAGCUCUAUGAAUGUAUGACAGAAUAUGAUUAUGAUUUAAUUAUGAACAGAAGAUGGUCUAAACUUAGUAAGCUAGGGAAAGUAGCAUUCGAGGUAAAAAGGGAAAUUUUAGCCCAAAAUGACAGAAAGUAGGUCAGGUCAAUUUGCAUGAAAAGGGUAGGCAUACAGAAGAAUGGAGUGAUUAUUUUGAUACAGGAAUCAAGGAUAAUAAUGUCAUUUAUUUGUUAUUAUUCGGUGCUAUGCAUUUGGAAGACAGUUUGUUAUAUCAAACUUGAUUGUUUAAUUGCGUGAUGCAUAUGUAUAUCAGCCAUGCUGAUAAUUUGUUUUAUCUGUUCUAUCUUUUAUUAAAGGUUGAACCACUCAUUGGUAUCAUCGCAAGGGCAUUGUUGUCGAGUCGUCAUUGCAGUUGGGCUUAGUAAUACACAUAACGUCACCGUUCCUACAUCAGUUCAACAACAGCUUCCAGGUCCACAUCAGACUACAGACCGGCUGUUACAAUGAGUACUGUUGGACAAAAGAAUGCCAAAGGAGACCCUGAGGGUGGAGUCCGUCCUGAAGAUUCGGCCAGCCAGUGUGGGAGCACUACAUCUUCAGUGCGACUGCGGACUAUGGCACGUAGAGCUGCUUUAGCUGUUGAGGCUGAAGCACUGAAACAGAAGAUGGCGCUGGAAAAGGAGGAGUUAGCUUUGAAACAGCGUAAAGCUCAGCUAGAUAUGGAUACCAGGAUGAAAAUAUCUGAUGCUGAGACACAAGUCUAUUUGAAUGAAGCGGAUAGGCUAUUGUCGGGUGAAGCUAGUGCUCCUCAGAAACAUCCAGUUGAAGUGAAUGAAACGUUGGCUUAUCCGCUGGACUCUGGAAUGCCAACGCCAACCCAGGUUGAACAGAGUACGAAGCCAACGGAGGCUUUGUUGCUGCAGAUUUUGCAGGAGGGACAGAAACAACAGAGGCAAUUAUUGGAGUCUCUUAAUGUGCCUCAAACACAAAUGAUGACGUAUGAUGGCAACCCUCUUAAAUAUUGGGAAUUUUGGAGGGCGUUUGAGAACUCAAUAGACUGUACAAGUAUCCCGGACAGUGCCAAACUGACCCGCCUUCUAUACUACUGCGAAGGAGAUGCCCGCAAAAUCUUGCAGCCUUGUAGUAUUAUGCCAUCUGGCGAAGGGUAUAUGAGGGCGAAGGCCAUGCUACAAGAGAGGUUUGGUACACCCUUCAUGAUAGCUGAUGCAUGGAUCAGGAAAGUGACCGGAGGGCGGAAGAUCACCGGACGGGACAAGAGGGCCCUAAGAGAAUUCGCAGAUGAACUGCAAGUUUGCUCACUGACUUUAGAUGCCAUGGGUUACAUUGGCGAUUUGUCACCACAGUUAGUCCUUGUCCAGAUAGUUGAACGACUACCACUAUACUUAUGCGGGAGAUGGCUGAGUGUGGUACGAAGAAUCAGGCGAGAGGAUAGACUUCCUAACAUAUUUGACCUGGUGGAUUUUGUCCAAGGUGCAGCCGAUGAGGAGAAUGAUCCGGUCUACGGAAGGCUUCUUACCAAGGAUCAGGGCGGUAGAGGCACCUCCCAGAACAAGAAGUCGACAGGACUGAAGAAGGGUGCUUUCUCCACGACAGCCACAGGCAAUGAUGUGACACCACAGCUGUGUGUGAUAUGCAAGGAAUCGCACAGUCUGUUUGGCUGUGACAAGUUCAAACGAAUGCAGCUAGAUGACCGGCUGAAACUGGUGAGGGAAAACAGGCUUUGUUUUAACUGUUUGGAGAAGGGACACAUGUCGAGAUACUGUAAACUAAAGAGGGUAUGUUCAGUUUACGGAUGCAACAGAAAACAUACUAAGUUUCUCCAUCAGCAGAAACCAGAACAACCUCAGCAAGCACAAGAGGAAGCUGUUAGUCCUUCACCUGAGAAGAUUGAGAGUCAUGUCACAGGGGCCGGGAACAUGAAGGUGCUAUUGCCAAUCGUUCCUGUCUGGGUUUAUGCGGCAGGCAGUAAUAUUGGUGUAGAGACUCUAGCACUGUUGGAUUCAGGCUCGACAAGUACCUUUUGUACUAAGAAGUUGGCAGCAAGAGUGAAGGCAAGUGGAUUGUCCAGUAUAGUGUCUGUCUCAACUCUGGAAAGAGCCAACAGCGAACUUCAGACCAGUGUUGUAAGCCUGAAAGUUGCAGCAAAGUCAUCAUCCAGGAUGGUGAAUCUCCCUAAAGUCUAUACCAAGACAGACAUUAACAUUAAUCCAGAUCACAUGCUAAAGAAGGAGGAUGUUGACAAACUCCAACAUCUCACAGAUGUCGACUUUCCAUCGACUACCAAACUGCAGGUGGAUCUGCUGAUUGGGCAAGAUUAUCCAGAGCUUAUUUGUCCCCUCGAGAUACGACGUGGUGAGCCAAGAGACCCUUAUGCAGUAAGGACAGUGCUGGGGUGGACCCUGAAUGGGCCGGUUCAGAGUGAUGGUAGGAGGAUGGCUGUGACGUCACACUAUAUCUCAGAUGAAAUAUCCCUUGAAGACCAAUGUAAGCUGUUUUGGUCUCUAGAAGGCAUUGAAACCCUCCAUUGUGAUGCUAAAGGAAUGUCAGUCAAGGACCGAGAGGUAUUGAAGCUAUGGGAGGAUAAUGUGGUAAUGAAUGGAGGUCACUAUCAACUGCCCAUACCAUUCAAAGAACGACCCCCGCCACUUUGUGACAAUAGAUGGAUGGCCCAGCAGAGACUCCAUUCACUUAGAAGACGACUUCUCAGGGAUACGGCAAUGCAUGCUAAGUAUACACAGGGCAUGGCUGACCUAGUUGCCAAGGGCUACGCCGAGGAAGUUGAUGAAACUCAACCGCCAAAUGGAACUUGUUGGUACCUACCACAUCACCCAGUGAUAAAUCCGAAGAAGCCAGACAAACUUCGGAUUGUGUUUGAUUGUGCUGCCAAGUGCUUAGGAGUUGGUCUGAACGAUGUGGUGAUGCAAGGGCCGGAUCUGACCAACAAGUUGACUGGUGUACUUCUUCGAUUUCGUCGAGCACCAAUUGCCAUCAUGGCUGAUGUGGAAGCCAUGUUCCACCAGGUAACAGUCCAUCCAGAUGAACGAGAUGUACUUCGCUUCUUGUGGUGGCCUGAUGGAAGAGUGGAUGAAGAUCCUAAGACCUACAGGAUGUGUGUGCACCUGUUUGGGGGCACAUGGAGCCCCAGCUGUUGCUCGUUUGCCAUGCGGCAAACAGCAAAGGACUAUGGAGAUCAGUGCAAUACACAAGCACCAAGAGUAGUAGAGAUGAAUUUCUACGUAGACGACUGCCUGGUCUCUGUUGAAGAGGAAGAUGAAGCUAUAAGACUGGCAUCAGAAUUGAGAACCUUGUUGCAGAAGGGUGGAUUUCGACUCGCUAAGUGGAUGAGUAGCAACACAAGAGUUCUGCAAACCAUACCAGUACAAGAUCGGGCCAAGCAAGUGGUUGGACUCGACCUGAACUUUGAUGCCCUACCAAUAGAGCGUGCACUUGGUAUGAUAUGGGAUGUAGAAAGAGAUAGCUUUGUCUACAAGAUUCAGGUGAAGGACAAGCCUUUAACACGAAGAGGACUCUUAAGUGUUGUUUCUUCUGUCUACGACCCUUUGGGAUAUGCUAGCCCAUUUGCACUGAGAGGGAAGUUGAUUCUUCAGGAGUUGACCCGGAAGAAGCUGAACUGGGAUGAGCCUAUCCCUGACAGUGAUGCAAAGAAAUGGAAGGCUUGGAUUGAGGAACUUCCACAGAUGGAAGGAGUUGAGGUCAGUAGAUGUGUCAAGCCUCACGACUUUGGCAGGGUAACUGAUUACGAGAUCCACAACUUCUCUGAUGCAUCUGAAGUAGCCUACGGGGCUGUAUCAUAUCUAGUGAUGAGGAAUGAGGAAGGAGAGGUGCAUAGCAGUAUCAUCAUGGCCAAGUCACGCCUUGCUCCAGUAAAGACCGUUACCAUACCUCGACUAGAAUUGAUGGCAGCUACACUUGCUGUGAAUAUGGAUGUCGUGAUAAGAGGAGAGCUAGACCUGCCUGUGAAGAAAUCAUACUUUUGGACUGACAGUAUGAUAGUGUUGCACUACAUAAAGAAUGAACAUAGAAGGUUCCGUGUCUUUGUGUCAAACAGGGUGGCUAUGAUACACAAUGCCACAGAGAUAGACCAAUGGAGACAUGUUGGCACAACGGAGAAUCCGGCGGACAUCGUAUCCAGAGGCAUGUCACCGUCUAAUCUGAAAGAUGAGGAGAAGUGGUUUGUGGGACCAGCCUUUCUACAACAGCCGGAGGAGAGAUGGCCCACAUGUCCCAUAGAGAAGGAUGGGAUCAGAGAGGACGAUCCAGAGGUGAAGCCUGUAGUCCAGAUCUUUGCUACAAGUGAGGGCAAGAAGUGCAUCGACCAGCUCUUCAUGCACUAUUCUUCCUGGACGAGACUACGCAGAGCGGUAGCUUGGUGGCUGAGGUUAAAGGAAACCCUUAGAAGGAAUGUAAAGAACUGUACUCCAGUUAAAGAAUUGAGCAGACACUUGACAGUGGAGGACUUGAACUAUGCUGAAAAUGCCAUCUUUCAGCAUAUUCAGACCGAGUCGUUCGAUGAGGAGAUGACAACCUUAAGGGAGAGAGUAAGAGAUCCACAGGGACGAGAGAGAACCGUGAAGAAAGGGUCGAGGCUUGCAAAGUUAGAUCCUAUUUUGCAAGAUGGUCUACUGAGGGUAGGAGGCAGGCUUGGAAGUGCACAGAUCCCAGACACUGCAAAGCAUCAGGUGAUACUGCCUAGAAGGCAUCAUGUGUCAGCACUGUUGGUAUGGCACAUACACAAGAAGGUUGGUCAUCAAGGCCAAAAUCAUGUUUUGGCAGAGCUCAAGCAGUACUAUUGGAUUCUGGGAGCUGGGGUCCUGGUGAGAGGCUUGGUGAGAAAGUGUGUUACUUGUCGUCGCUACCAGGCCAAGGUCGGCAAGCAGAAAAUGGCUGAUCUACCUGCCUUCCGAGUAGAAGCUGAUGAGCCAGCAUUUACUCAUGUGGGGAUGGACUACUUUGGCCCUUACGAGAUCAAGUGUGGGCGCUCUGUAAGAAAGAGAUACGGCGUGAUAUUCACAUGCAUGACAACUAGAGCUAUCCACAUCGAGGUUGCCAAUUCUUUAGACACCAGCUCAUGCAUUGAUGCCAUCAGACGCAUGAUGAGCAGGAGAGGACCAAUAAAGAGGUUGGUCUCGGACAAUGGCACCAAUUUGGUAGGCGCUAAAGCUGAGCUGAGGAAGGCACUGAGUGAUUGGAACGUUGAUGAAAUCUCAAACUUCACGGCUAAUCACAGUAUAGAUUGGAGUUUCAACCCGCCAGGGGCCUCACAUCAUGGCGGUGUGUGGGAGAGGCAGAUAAGAACAGUCAGGAAAGUACUGCAUGCUCUUCUCAACGAGCAGUAUUUAAGGACAUGUCAGUCGGAGGAGCAGCUUCACACUCUGAUGUGCGAGGUAGAGGCAAUCAUUAACAGCAGGCCUCUUACUCGUGUCUCUGAUGAUCCUGGAGAUCUGGAAGUCAUCACGCCCAGCAGUCUGCUACACAUGAAGCAGACCUCAGCACCACCUCCGAGUAAGUCCACUGAGGGAGAUGUCUUCGCCAGGAGACGUUGGAGGCAGAUGCAGUACCUGGCUGAUCUCUUUUGGAAGAGGUGGAUUAGGGAGUAUCUACCUAGUCUACAGCAACGUCAGCGGUGGCAGCAGCCUGAACGCAAUCUUCAGGUUGGUGACGUGGUUCUCAUCGCAGACGGAACUGUGCCGAGGUGUUGCUGGCUGAUGGGACGCGUUUUAGAAGUGUACCCUGGUAAGCGGGGAUAUGUACGUAGCGUGAAGGUUAAGACUGCAACGUCGACACUCGUCAGACCCAUCGCGAAGCUUUGUUUACUUCUCGAGCAAGAGGAAUCGCGAUAGACGACUUCGAGAAGUUAGCCAUUUUGAUUUAUUGUUUUAGAGCUGAUACAGAAUAAUUCCAGUUCAAUUCAAGAUAGGGAUUACUUUAGGUAGCGUUGAGCAAGAAACAUUCAACUUCUGUGGACGCAGCAUCUAGUUUCGCAUAAAUGGAUUCGGUUUAGAUUCGGUUCAACAAGAAGAGACUUUACUACAGUGAUAUUAUACAGAUACUUUGUGUUUCGUAGUUACUUGCUGAAAUGUGUAAUUGAAAUGAAGCACAACUCAUUUCUAGUUAGAAUUCAAUUUCUAAAGAUAGUAUUCUGAUUGUUAUACAAUAGUUUUUUGUAAUCAGAAGAUAAGGAAAUGUUUAAUUGAAUUGAAGCAUAACUCAUUUCUAGUUAGAAUUCAGUUUCUAAAGAUAGUAUUCUGAUGGUAAUACAAUAGUUUUUGUAAUCAGAAGUUAAGGAAAGAAAUACAGGUAGUAUGUCCUUAUUGUCAUAUUAUUAGUGUUCUGCUAUUCGGUAAGGACAUAUGUUUCCAUAGCAACCACCUUUUUUGGAUUUAAAGGGACUGUAUUUAUUCGGUUAGGAAAUAUGUUUCCAUAGCAACCACCUUGUUUGGAUUUAAAGGGAAGUCUGUAUUUAUCGAAGUCUUGAAAUUUCAAGAGAGUGACAGUUUUGUUAUACAUGUCGGCAGUGAAAAGUUUGGUAAAUUCAAAGUAUUCGGUUAAUUUAAGGGGCCGGGAUGUUGAUACGAGUUUUUCCCAAUUUGAUAUUGUGACGUCAGAAGCGGGGCUUUUAGCUUGAUUCUGCAUUCAGGUCGUAGAGGGCGGGAUUUGAUUCUGUGGAGCUACUGAUUUACGUGUUUUGGACAUGUUUAUUACACUGAAAGUCUACUGUAAUUUUUGUUUUCCUGAGACAGCCCAAUGUUGUAAGUAGAAAAUCACUGCAUAUUAUGAUAGGUCAAUAUUUACUCUUUUGCCUGAUGUUAAUGGUGAUUAUAAUGGUGGAUUGAUGUGAUGUAUGAAAUAAGAUUAGAAUCAUAGAACAUCCUUACGUUUUGAAUGUAAAUGUACCACAUAUAAGUUUUGGUGUAAGUAGCGUAUAAGAUAAUUCAUGCUGGAAAAGUACGAAAUAUCCGAGUAAGGUUAUGAUAUUAUGAAUGAGCAAGAAGCUCUAUGAAUGUAUGACAGAAUAUGAUUAUGAUUUAAUUAUGAACAGAAGAUGGUCUAAACUUAGUAAGCUAGGGAAAGUAGCAUUCGAGGUAAAAAGGGAAAUUUUAGCCCAAAAUGACAGAAAGUAGGUCAGGUCAAUUUGCAUGAAAAGGGUAGGCAUACAGAAGAAUGGAGUGAUUAUUUUGAUACAGGAAUCAAGGAUAAUAAUGUCAUUUAUUUGUUAUUAUUCGGUGCUAUGCAUUUGGAAGACAGUUUGUUAUAUCAAACUUGAUUGUUUAAUUGCGUGAUGCAUAUGUAUAUCAGCCAUGCUGAUAAUUUGUUUUAUCUGUUCUAUCUUUUAUUAAAGGUUGAACCACUCAUUGGUAUCAUCGCAA